rnacentral:rRNA from 1 species
AACGAACGCUGGCGGCAUGCCUAACACAUGCAAGUCGAACGAGACCUUCGGGUCUAGUGGCGCACGGGUGCGUAACGCGUGGGAAUCUGCCCUUGGGUUCGGAAUAACAGUUGGAAACGACUGCUAAUACCGGAUGAUGACGUAAGUCCAAAGAUUUAUCGCCCGGGGAUGAGCCCGCGUAGGAUUAGCUAGUUGGUGGGGUAAAGGCCUACCAAGGCGACGAUCCUUAGCUGGUCUGAGAGGAUGAUCAGCCACACUGGGGCUGAGACACGGCCCAAACUCCUACGGGGGGCAGCAGUGGGAAAUAUUGAACAAGGGGCGAAGGCCUGAUCCAUCGGUGCGGCGUGAGUGAUGAAGGCCUAAGAGUUGUAAAGCUCUUUUACCCGGGAUGAUAGUGGCAGUACAGGGAGAAUAAGUCCCGGCUAACUCCG